rnacentral:rRNA from 1 species
UACAGAGGGUGCAAGCGUUAAUCGGAAUUACUGGGCGUAAAGCGUGCGUAGACGGUUAUGUAAGUCGGGUGUGAAAGCCCCGGGCUCAACCUGGGAAUUGCAUUCGAGACUGCAUAGCUAGGGUGCGGAAGAGGGAAGCGGAAUUUCCGGUGUAGCGGUGAAAUGCGUAGAUAUCAGGAGGAACACCGGUGGCGAAGGCGAGUCUCUGGACAUUUCCUGACGCUGAGGCACGAAAGCCAGGGGAGCAAACGGG